UACGAAGGGUGCGAGCGUUGUCCGGAAUCACUGGGCGUAAAGGGCGCGUAGGCGGUGGGGGAAGUCCGUGGUGAAAGCUCGUGGCUCAACUGCGAGUCGGCCAUGGAUACUCCUCGACUUGAGCACUGUAGAGGCAGGUGGAAUUCCGGGUGUAGCGGUGGAAUGCGUAGAGAUCCGGAGGAACACCGGUGGCGAAGGCGGCUUCCUGGACCGACACUGACGCUGAGGCGCGAAAGCUAGGGGAGCAAACGGG
rnacentral:rRNA from 1 species